AGAAAGUACAGUGGACUAAAUCAUCUGACAAUAGGAUUAAGUGCACCAGAACUGUAACUUUACUUUUGGGGAAUUUAACUUAAUUUCUGUUGUGAGACCCCCCUCCCCAGCCUCAUUUGCUAGGAAGGCAGAAGCUUCAUCUUCAGUAUUUUCUCCUCCACCUUUCAGGAAUGCCAAAAUUGCAGGGAUACAGUGCCCAGGAAUCAGACCAGCCGUAACUCGAGGGUCCACUGUAUGUGACAAGAAGGUGUUGUUUAUGAGAAAACAGAUCCUCGCCAGAUACCACCCUUUCCACAUCUUGAACUCUCCAUCCUCUACAACUGUAAGACAUAAACUUCUGUUUGUCUUAAGCCAACUUUCUGAUAUUUUGUUAUAGCAACAUAAAAAAACUAAGACCUUUUUCAUGGAAAAAGACUGGAAUUUUUUGAAAGGCCUACACUGAACAUUGGACUGAAUGGAUGGCUAAUAACUCCAAAAACAGAUAUUGUGCAGACCACAACAAAUAUGGCAAAAUCAAAUGUCUUGGAACUGUAGACCAUCAUAGGUAGUUAACUACAUUGUUACAGUUGCCUCUGGUCUCUCAUAAACUGGAAGCCAGUUGAUCUCAUUGUUUAGGCUGAGAUCAAAUAAGACAGGGAAUAGGAAGAAAGACAAAUCAGUUUAGAUGGAUUAUUUAAAAAAUUGUCAACAAUUUUAUCUUGACAAUAGGCCCCAGAGUCUUAAUGAUUGAAGGCUGUCGCUAAUAAUAGGCAAUUUUAAAAGAUAUUGACUUCUGUAUCUUAAAACAUAGGACACAUGAGCAAAUCCUAUUCAUUUAAAACUGG
rnacentral:lncRNA from 1 species